rnacentral:rRNA from 1 species
UACAGAGGGUGCAAGCGUUGUUCGGAAUUAUUGGGCGUAAAGCGCGUGUAGGCGGCUUAGCAAGUCGGGUGUGAAAUCCCUCAGCUCAACUGAGGAAGUGCGCCCGAAACUGCUGAGCUUGAGUGCCGGAGAGGAUGGCGGAAUUCCCCAAGUAGAGGUGAAAUUCGUAGAUAUGGGGUGGAACACCGGUGGCGAAGGCGGCCAUCUGGACGGUAACUGACGCUGAGACGCGAAAGCGUGGGUAGCAAACAGG